rnacentral:rRNA from 1 species
UUGGACAAUGGGCGAAAGCCUGAUCCAGCAAUGCCGCGUGAGUGAUGAAGGCCCUAGGGUUGUAAAGCUCUUUUACCCGGGAUGAUAAUGACAGUACCGGGAGAAUAAGCUCCGGCUAACUUCGUGCCAGCAGCCGCGGUAAUACGAGGGGAGCUAGCGUUGUUCGGAAUUACUGGGCGUAAAGCGCGCGUAGGCGGUUUUUUAAGUCAGAGGUGAAAGCCCGGGGCUCAACCCCAGAAUAGCCUUUGAAACUGGAAAACUAGAAUCUUGGAGAGGUCAGUGGAAUUCCGAGUGUAGAGGUGAAAUUCGUAGAUAUUCGGAGGAACACCAGUGGCGAAGGCGGCUCACUGGUCCGGUACUGACGCUGAGGUGCGAAAGCGUGGGGAGCAAACA